rnacentral:rRNA from 1 species
UACGAAGGGGGCUAGCGUUGUCCGGAUUUAUUGGGCGUAAAGGGCGCGUAGGCGGUUUCUUAAGUUUGAAGUGACAGUGGGUGGCUUAACUACCCAAGGCCUUUGAAAACUGGGGAACUUGAGGACCAGAGAGGGACAUAGAAUUCCGGGUGGAGUGGUGAAAUGCGUAGAUAUCCGGAGGAAUACCAAAGGCGAAGGCAGUGUCCUGGAGGGUGACUGACGCUGAGGCGCGAAAGCUAGGGGAGCGAACAGG